rnacentral:lncRNA from 10 species
CUUCUACUUACUGUGUAAAAUUGAGGAUUAUGUGUUUGCAGGAAUGAAUGAAUGCUUAUAUUUUCUCAGUCCAUUUCAAAUUAAUGUGGUGUGGAAUGGUCAGAAGAGAUUGUACUGAUGGUUGUCCUCCUGUUCAAUGAGUUCUGUUAAAUGAUCCCUGUAAGAGACAUCCUUCAUUCCUGGCUCACAAAAAUUGAGUUUUGAGUAGCAUUGUUUUUAGUGUACAGAAUUCAACAGAUGGUACCAAAUAGCCAAUAUUUUAAACAACUUCCUGAGGGUAGAUCUCCAGCUGAGCAUCCCUAUCACCCUCAUUUUCAUCUACUUUCACUGUGUUCAUUCAUUUUAAAAUUAUCGUGUGAGCAGCACUCACAUUUCCCUAGAAGAAGAUGUAACUGUGCAUAUUAGCAAAUCUGGAGCUGAAGUAUGAGUUUAAUAUUGGCCACUUUUUUUCUCGUGUUGUCUUUAAACAAUGCCAUUUUUAAAAAUGAUUGUUUUCCAUUUUACAUUCAAAGGGUGGCUACUUACUGUUUUGCAACUCAACUCAGCAAAGAAAAAAUUGUAGGUAGUAAUUUUUUUAAGCUAUCAACUGAAUCUCUGACAGACACCCUCAUCUUUGUUGUCAGGUUGAAACAUUCUGUUCUUGAACAGAGGAAAAACACUCUUCACACAGUGCUUACGAGUUUCUGAAGUCUUUAUUGGUACUCUGCACACCUUCACACCUCCGUGAGAAGAAAACAGUAGAUUUAUAUUAGAAACUGUAUUGAAAAAUGUCUACUUCAAACACACUCAAAGGACUUUCCGGUUGUUUUAUUGCUAUGCCAGAAUACCUUCAUGUAACUGAAGUAACUUGGACUAAGCAAGAGAGAAAAACGUUAACAGGCCAGGCCUGGGUCCAACAGUGAAGAACGAGAAGAUUGUUCUUGAGGCCUAGUCAAUAUCAAUGUAAGCAUCACAAUGAAGGAAAACAUGACUACAUAAAAAAUUAACAACAAGGAGGCUGAUUUCCUUUUGAGAGGAAAAAAUUUUGAAAACCUGAAGAAUUGAGAGCAUAGAAAGAAACCCAUGUAAUCAUGUAAGUACAGUGCCUGCCACAAAGUUAACACUAUCUGUUCAAUCCAUACUGAAAGAAAAAAUAAAUGUUGAGACAGUAUCUUUGAAUGCAGUCACAGCUUUCUCUCUCAUCUCCAACUAUGAUAAUCUUACCCUGUAAGAACCAACUUUUCACAGCAAUUCAGAGAACUGCACACUUGUAUGUCUAGAGACUAGGGUAUAGGGGAGCACAGAAACCACUUCCCAGUAGUUCUUUCCACUUAUAGCCAAUGUGAGAAAACCUUUUAAAUGGUCAAUUUUCAAGGCAUGAUACAUCUAAGCACUGGCAGCCAGCCUGCAGAUGUAACAAACUGCACGGCUCGUGCUCCUAGAAGGUCACGAUAAAUGAACAGAAUGUAGAGGAGGAGUCAGCCCAUAAAAGGGAAGAGAGUUUCACUAUUGGGAAAUUGAAACUUAAGUGGGGGAAGCGGAUGGGGUAAACUUAGGUGACGUCUGGGAAGAUUGUAACCCCAUAGUAUUUGACUAAUGAGGAAGUAGGGGAGGGACUUGCAUGCUAGGAGGUAUAUUACCUGCUGUGAUUGCCCCGGGUGUGCCUGCCUACCAGACACCCGAUCUUGCAAGACCACUAUUAAGUCUCACUUUUGCUGUUCUUGGUGCCUCUAAGUCCAUUCUUUGGGUUUGGAUGGGUGAGCGUGUUUCUCACAUCCAUUAAUAUUCCUACUAUAUAUAGUAGAACCUGCAAUCUAUAGAUAUUUCCCUGGGAUCUCUAGAUGUCCAGUACUUUCCUGUUAUAUUUGCUUUUCAAAACCAUUCAAUCUAGUGUCUACCACACCACUACCAUGCACCCUGGCCUACUCUGGUGAUGACAACAGAGUUUUGAAUAAAACAGAAUUCUACCCUUGCACCUUUUCUUCUACUGGGGAGAUGCAGACGAUUAAAGGAGGAGGGAAGGAAGGAAGGAAGGAAAGAAGGAAGAAAAGGAAGGAAGGAAGGGAGGGAGGGAGGGAGGGAGGGAGGGAGGGAGGGAAAAGGAGUGGGGAGGGGAGGGGAGGGGAGAAAGAGAUUAAACUUUUGAUGCCGGCAAGGUACUAUGAAUGAGAUACUUCAGUUGAUAGAGAGCAUAAAGUGUUGGGAGACUGCUUUAGGCAGGCUGAAGACCUUCCCAAAGAGGUAAUAUUGAACUUCAGUCCUGACUUCCAGAGGCAGCCAUCUAAUGAUCUUCAGGAAGAGACUUUCGACAAGUAGCAGCACUUGCAAAGGCCGUUUAUAUUGAGUAAUGUUUUUAGAUUCCCUAGCAUAUUUAGAAGACUUGCACUGAUGGGAAAUUUCUGACUAGAAAGUCCAGUCUUCUUAAGAAGUAAUCUAGAAAACUGGCAUUCUCAGCCUCCUCUACAUCUAGAUACAAGCAGGUGGCCAAGGCUUCACCAACCCCAGGCAAAAAGCACUUGAAACUUUGGCUCAGUACUGCUCACAAUGUAUACA